GGGAAGGUGGCUCAGUGGUAGAGUGCUUGCCUAGCAUGCAUGAAGCCCUAGGUUUGAUUCCUCAGUACCA
rnacentral:tRNA from 1 species